UACAGAGGCCCCGAGCAUUACCCGGAAUUAUUGGGCGUAAAGAGUGCGUAGGUGGUCAUAUUAGUCGUUUGUUAAAACUCAGGGCUCAACCCUGGAUCUGCAGGCGAAACGGUAUGACUCGAGGGCGUGAGAGGUACAUGGAACUCAUGGUGUAGGGGUGAAAUCCGUUGAUAUCAUGGGGAACACCGAAAGCGAAGGCAAUGUACUGGCGCGUUCCUGACACUCAAGCACGAAAGCGUGGGUAGCGAACGGG
rnacentral:rRNA from 1 species